rnacentral:rRNA from 1 species
GAAUUUUAUAUAAGUAGAUUAUUUAAUUAAGUUUUAUAAAUAGUUUAAAUUAUAUUUAAUUGGGAGGAUUGUUAAAUUAAAAGAACUUUAAUUAAGUUUUAAAAUAUUAAUUAAUAGAUUUUAGAAUGGUUACUAAAUUAAAUAAGAAUUAAUUACCUUAGGGAUAACAGCGUAAUAUUUUUAGAGAGUUCAUAUUAAUAAAAGUGUUUGC